rnacentral:tRNA from 1 species
GGUGGGGGUAGCUCAAAGGUAGAGCAUCGGAUUGUGGUUCCGAUUGUUGUGGGUUCGAGCCCCAUCACCCACCC